CAGAGGAGUAUGCCGGAGCUGUGGUGGGCACCUAAAGAGAAAGGAAAUGGAUUUGGAGGUGACUUUGGUGAGAACCUCUUAGACUGCAACAGGCAGACUGAAAUUUCUCAUCCAAGCUCCAUUUGUUGAGAACCUGAAACCCUGAGAAUAUUUCCUUUGACAAAAUCCCAACAGCUCUUAAAUCAUCUAUCUUCAAGGAAAGUGAAAGAGAAGAGACACAUUGGAGGCUGGCUGCUCCAUUGUGUUGAAAUGAAGCAUUCAGAAGGACUCAGUGAAAUCAUCUUUGGAAAUUUCCAGCUGGGCUGCACCCUUGUAAUACCAGGGUUAAAAGCAUGGGGAAUUGUUGUACCUAUACUGACCGACUGACCAUAACCUGCUCAACACUUAUUGGGAGCUCACAAGCUCUCUGGAAGAUGAAAAGUAUCUGCUUUCCUUAGCAAACUUGGAGUGAAUAACACUUUAAGGUGAAGAUAAAUAGUGGAAGGAGAGACAACGCUGAAUGCAAAAAUGCACUGGAUUUCUUGAUGGAUGCUACUUUUCCUAAGUACCUGAAACUUCCCAACACACCUGAGCAAGGAAGCAUACGACAUUGGCCAAUGUGUUGUGUGGCUGUCUUUGUUGUUUCAAACCAUCUGGAGCAAUCUCUGGAAAUGAGACAAGUGUAACCCUUUCUCUGUGCCAUGGACCGGAUUGUUCCCAAAGACCAGAGGAAAUUUCCCAGGGAAUAAAGCUGGAAAAAAGACAAGUUUACCUAGUUGCUUUGUUGAUUCAGAGGGACAAAAAUGCUCUGAAAUCAGUGAAAAAGAAGUGAUUUUGAGGCCAGAGCAAUCAAAGUAGGAAUCCAGAUUCUUCAAGGAGGCCUCUCAAAGAAUGACAAUACUCUAUGAGCAGAUGCCACAGAAGGGCUAAAUAGUUUUGAAAAUUGCUUACCUAGUAUUUAGAGGAGAAAAUCGUAUUCAAAAAUGAAUAGAACAGCAUUGUGCCCUAAACAACUGUGUUACUCUAGAUAAGCUCCCUGGUAUUCUUUAUUUAGAGCUAGUUAAAAAAUUCUCAUCGAACUGCAUUGUAUGUUUAUACCUGACUUCUGAUUGGCUUGGGCUUCCAUCACUUGGGUCCUCCAUCACAGUAAGCUGGAGAGGUUAAAAAACAGAAGAAAAGGCCAUAGUUUCUAUUCUGUACACAGCAUUUGAGAAAGUUUCUUUUUUUCCCUUUUCAUCAAGUUAUUCAACUUCACUAAUGAUUAGGCAAAAGGAAUAAAUUGCUGGCUAAUUAAAUUUGCAGAUGGUAUUCAAUUGUGAGGGUGUGUGAGGAUAAAGGAAUAAUGUAGAGGCCUCAAAAGCUUUGCAUUCUAUGCACGAGAGAGUGGAAAGGCAUGAGUCAGUGUGUGCAAUUACAACUAGCAUAUAGAAAAGAGGCAGAAGGGAGGCUACUGGAAAAAAGAGCUAUUGAAUAUCAGUGAGAGGACAUUUGUAGGAGAAGCAAUGGAUGGACUCAAAUAACUAUGAGAUAUUAUGAACAAUUAUUCCUGUCUAGGUUAGCUCCUGCAUAAGUUUAUAGGAGACCUCCUAUGGGUAUAAUUCUAGAGAGAAAUCCCCCAAGCAUCAUCUCCAAAUGAAGUUUUGAUAUUUGGCAGACCACCUGGUCUACAUCAUAUCUCUGGUCACAGCAUGGUUUCUGAGUUAGCCAUUGGGGUUUCAUUGGUUCUCAAAGUAAAAUAAGCUUAUUGGCAAUGGUAUGUGGCCAUAUGCCAGAAAGUACGCAAAGCCAGGUGAUAUGUAUGGCAUAUAUUUCUCAACGAUUAGUUUUGCUCAUGGCAACUAAGGUAAACUUAUUUUUAUAUUAAAACAAACACAGAUACAUUGCGGUAUCGAAUAGAGGAUUUGCAUGGAUUUUGAGCUAUAACUCAAGACUGCAAAGAGAUUUCUUCCUUACAGGGUGCCAUCUAGGCUUACACCUCCAGAUCUUCUAGGGGUACAUACUCACUCUUGCUUGAUGUUAUGGGUAUUUAGGUGGAAAAAGUUAAGAAACUCUAUAUAUUCCAAAUAUGUGCAUAGCACGAUAUAAAAUACUUAUUUUAAAAGCUCAUUAAUUUAUUAAAUAUUAAUGGAGAGCCUAGCCUGUACCAGACACUUUUGUCAGGGUAGAGAGAGGUACACUGGUGUACAGAACAAGUUCGUGCUCUCAGGAACUUGCAUUCAAAGUCUAUAUUGUAUUUAUGAACUCCUUCACACAGCAAUUUAACAUAAUUUUAUGAAAGUGUAAUUAAUUGCUAUUUAUUUCUUAGUUUACUUUGUACACACUUCUGGAGCAUUUUCCAUGUACUAAACUCUGUGCUACGCAAUAGAAAAACAGAAGUGAAUAUUGCAGACCUGUACUCUGCCUAAAACAGCAUGAAUUUUAAUAAGGAAGACUAUCAAUUAAGCAAUUAGUUCUAAUGUUCUGAGAUGAGUUUUCUGCAAGUGAGGUAGAAUUUGGAACAGGAUAAUUUGGCAAGGAUGUCUCAUCUGCAUUGGGACACGUAAAAGUCUUCUCCACGGAAAUAUAUUUAAGCGUAAACUGGACAGAUGUAUAGGAGCUGGUCAGAUGGACAGAAUGGAAAACUAUAUUUCAGGUAGAGGGAUAGCAUGAGAAAGGCUGAGGGGUGAGAGGGAACAUCAGUUACUCUAGGGCAUGAAUGAAAUUCAUAAUGGUGAGAGUGAGCCAUGUGGAGUAGAAUGUGAAAAGAUGAGGCUGCGGACAGAGAUGUGAGCACAGAGAUCACCAUAGGCCAUGCUAAUGGAUUUGUGCAUCAUCCUAAGGAUGGUGGAAAGAUCAUGAAGGCUUUUAAGUUAGGGCAAGACAUGACCAACAUUGCAGUUUCUAAAUGGUCACUUUGGCUUCGGUGUGGAGAAUGGAUUUGAAGGAAGCAGAGUGGAACCAGGGAGACCAUUUAAGAGGUCAUUGUAAAAUCAAGGCAAAAGAAGAUGCUUCUCAGGCUGCACUCAGGUGGUGGCUGUGAAGACGGACUGCAGUGAUAUCCAGGAGGCAAGUCCAGAGGGAUUGUCAUUUGGUUAGAGACGGGUCAAAGGUAAGGAGGUGAAAAGUGAGGCUAGGAUCAGUAAUAAUUUGUAUGUGGUUGCCACAGUGCUUUGAGGAAGAGAAGGAUACAGCUAUGUUUGGAUAUCUUGAAUGUGAAAUGACUUGAAAUAUCUAAGUGGAAGUAAUCAGUGAGUAGAACAGGAGCCUGGAAAGAAGGAAGAGAAUAGCCUUUACCUUUUCAAACAGGGUCUUGUUGAUCUUGAAUUGUCACUCUCGUGGUUGGCAAAGUAAUACCCUACAUAUCCUGCCUAUUGGACUAGAUUUCCUUCGAGGAACUGAUGCUGGGACUCUUCCCAUUAUACCAGAGUGGGGCCAGACCCCACUCUGUCUUGGCAUGGUUUGGGGAAUAAAUCCAAACUGGUCCUGAGAUUUGUCUAAAGUGACUUGUACAACACCUUGCAGCCCACUCAUGGAAGGGUGGGGACCUGAGCCUAGGGCUCCAUACUACGCAUCUAGUAUGGGUUUAUUUAUUCUAACUCUCCAUCCACCUCCACCUCCCAGAUCAUGAAUCCCCACCCUACCUUCAGUGUCUGUGGUGAGUGUCUAUGUCUUACUCUACCUUCAACUGAUGAGAAUGCUCAUGGUUUUGUUUUUUUUUUUUUUCCUGGGUAAUGACACAAGUUCCCAUGUGGGAGCUCGUUCUCCUGCUAAAGGAAGCCAAAGGCCUAUUUGAACAUGAGCCCAAUUUCUCCCCUACCAAACAUCACUGUCACAAACUGACCACUCUGGCAGUGCUGCCAGCUACGAGCAGACAGGUUGACUGACAGGAAGCACAGAUCUGCCGCUCACACAAAUCUAGGCAGGCAGGGGAUGGAAAAGAGGUGUGCUGGGCCUGUCUGGCACCGACAGCUUCUGCCACACCGACAUUUCAAUCAGCACCGUGUUAAGCCAGCCCUUGUGUCACUCAAAAGUAGUCCAGCACUAGCUCCAGGGGUGGGCUCUAGGGAGCCACCUGAGUCCCUGGGUUGCUUCAAAGAGAGGGGUUACCAGGUCCAUCAGCAGCAUCUGCCACACCUUCUUCUCUUGCCAGAUAAUUAGGAUAUAGUCCAGUUGGGUGACUUUAUCCUGCCUGAGGAAGUGACAGCUAAUACUGGGCUGGCACUGGAGAGCACUCCAUGGUUCAUAAUGACUGUCCGAAUCGGCAGGAGCUGUCUGGUGCGUCCAGGAAAAGUUGAGUUCUGUUUAUUCUUUGGAGAGAAGGAGGAAUAGCGAGCCUAGGUGUGCUUUGAAAUGCCUGUCUAACUACAUAGGGAUUUACAUACACCUAUUCAUAUGGAUAAACACUUGCAUAAGCACCUAGACACAAACCUCCCUGUUCCUCCAUAAGCUAAAUCAUGCACAGAUCACAAGCACACAAACAAGCAUAGAUGUAUGCAAAAUACUCAUUUGCUAAGAUGCAUGCUUAUAAAUAUGCAUAUUCAAAUUUGCGUUAGGAUGCACACAUAUGGAAAACACACAUGCACAAAUAAAUGAAUUUGCUGUAUAUGUGAGUGCAUACAAAUACAAAGACGUUGAUAUACAAAAGCGCAUGUACAGUGCAUGCAGAUUGAUGAACUCAUAUAAACACAGGCAAAUACAGAUAUGAAUAUAUGUGAAAAGACACUUGUAAAAACACAUGCACUUGCACACACACCCACAUGCAUUCUUUUCUAAGGGAUGAAUUUAAAGAGAAUGGAAGAAUGGAUGCAGAACAUUUAUGUAUUGGAGUUUCUACCUGUCAUCACUCAAAUCACUUUCAAGUGUGUAAAACAAAAGAGAGAAAAAAAAUCAAUUCCUGAUAGGAGAGGUUCAAGGAGCUGUUAAAUCAAUUAUAUUUUAUUUUCAAAUAUCAUUCAGAGAAGUUUACACUCUUUCAGAAAAGUCUGGUCUCGCCGGGGGGCAAAGAACCAGCUGGAAAUGGUAAUGUGGAAGGCACUGCAAAGUUCAAGGCAAAGGCCAGUGCUGAGGUCAGAAAUGACACUUUCAUCUUCUCUGGCAGGAGAAGGGGGUUGGGAGGGUUUCAAGUGCCCCAUUCAAAUAAUGGCCACAAGGGCUUAACUGAUGUGACACCGGUCACUUCAUUGAUUGCUAAGUUUGACUUGGUCAAUUGACAUUAAAAAAUAAACGUUUGUGAGAUCUGGUGGGAGCCUUGGAAAGCUACUUUUUUUUGAAUUUUUUAAACAAAGAGACAAAGAGGCUGGAAGAAGAGGUGUGACUUGCCCAACAUCAUCCAGGAAGAGAGUUCAGAGCCUGAGACUGAUCCCAGCCAGCUGGUUUCCCAGCUCGGAACUUCCUGCUUCUCCCAUUAGACAUCUGCCCUCAGAUCACCCUCCCUAUCAGGUAGCAUUUUGAUUCCUCAAAGACCCUUAUAAACAUACAACGAAUUAACUCAUGUAGUAUUGAGGGUGUUUAAUUAAAGACACCAGGCUGAGGGCUGGUGACUGGCCGGAGGUAUCACCAGGACCAGACCCAGGUGGUAUGUGCUGAAGACUAGAAGAGCCCAGUUAGUGUUUCGUAUGAACAUCCUGCCUGUAGGACCACUUUUAUCCCUAAGAUAUGCUAACGUUGCCUGGACCUUGAUCACCAGAUCUGGGCUCUAAAGCACAUAGCAAGAUGCUGUGGGAAAAACAAAAAGACGAUACAAAAAGGAGAAACGCCAACCUUUUGUAAAACUUGCCAUGUUUUUAUGAUACUUGAACACUAGAUUAAAAAAAAAUAGUACACGCUGAAAUGCGGAAACCUUAAUAAGCAACUAAGCUCAGCACAGAGUGAAGGGAUCAGGCGAGAGAGGACAGAAGAAGUGACACUAAGAAAGUCAGAUUCUGCCAUUACAAGCUUCAGUUUUCUCACUGAAAAAAAUAACAGUGGAGAACAAAAAGCUACAUCUAGGUUGCCAGGGGGUUUAAAUUAGUGAAUAUCUGAAAAUGUGUUGUAAGUUUGUUGGAGAAAUGUUAAGGUAUGUUGCUGUCUACAGUCUUAGUGAAGGAAAACGUUAUCCCAGAACUUUUCUUUAUGUUGUUAUCCCCACUAUGAAUGCCCUUGCUGUUCACUGAGUUGAACUUGAGUCUCCUUUAAAGACUGAUCAAGUGAGCUGCCAAACCUCUCAGAACCAUGUUGCUGGAAGAGACCUCAGACAUACUUUCUGUCAAUUUCCACACUGAUUCUGGGACAUGUUAAGGGAUGUUACUCAGCAUCAUAUAAUAGUAGGCUCUUUAAUAAAAUAAUCUUAUGAAAUGCUACAAAUAAUAUUCUCCUCCUAUAGAUUCACAAAACACAGAAGCCUUGAGAGGUCUUGCAGGAAACAACCUGCUCAAUUUUGUUGAACAUGUUUCUAAAUGUUUUCAUCUUCUGCCACUUCUCUCAAUCUUUUUGUUUAAUGUUACAUAUCUAUUAAUAUCCUAAAGAGAAAUUUUCCAUGGAACACAAUUUUGGGAUGCACUCUUUUGGUUCAAUGCCCUUGUGCUAGGUAGGAAACAUCUGAUGAGGGAAAUGAGUUGGCCAAGAUCAUGUAACAAAUUAAUGAUAGAGCUACAAUUCCUGGUGGUCUUUCCCUGCUCAAAAUCCAUAUUGGAUACAAUUUAGUACCUGGCUAUACUCUGUUUUAUUAUGUUAUCCUUUAUUUGUUAAUUCAUGUAUAUUUUAAAAUGAAAUAUGUGUAAAACCAUUCAACAUAGCUUCUGGAACAUUUCAAGCACUCAAUAAAUGUUAAGUCUGAAUACGUCUGUUUAUGUGGCUUUCCCAACUAGAUCAUGAGCUCCUGGGAGGGGCCGUGUCUCACACACUGCUGUAUAUCCCUAUGGCUCAUACAGUUCCUCUAGACACACCCGAGGCACUCACUAACUGCUCUCUCACUUACUGAUUAAUAAUCAGGGGUGAGCCCAGUUUUAUGCCCACUGGAGGAAAAGAGAAAGCUUGACAUUAAAGCAAUAAAAUGAACCAUUUCCCCUACAGAGUUAGUCUAACAUUAAUAAAAGCUUCAUGUUGCACUAUUAUCUUCUCCUCUUAUUAUUUUCAUGUAUUUCCUACUGGAUAUAAAUGUCAGGAUGCUUUAUCUAUCUGCAUUUUCAUGGGAUUUAUUGCCACUGAAGGAAAACAUGCUGUGACUUCUGGCAAGGGAAGCCUUGUCCUCCGUGGCCUUCUCUCUCCCAUGCUGCCUAAGGUCCCCCAGUGACCACAGAGCUAAAGAAACUAGGCAAGGAGCACUGUGUCUAUUGGCAUAAAUCAGGAUGAAAAACCCACUUUUUCUGUUUUGCAGUUCUGAGAUUUGGUGCAACUGGCUUUGCUCUCCGGACAUCCCUAAAGGGAAGCAGAAAUGGUGAUUUUGAAGCAUCUAUUGUCCCACCUCAACUCACCUAACUCUCCUUAAUAGAACCAUAAUUUUGUGCAGAUAUCUACACAUCCUCCUCAUGAUCAAAUGAUUCAUGAGAGGAGAUUCUUCCCUCAGAACCCAGGAUAUAUUCUGAUUAAUCUAAACCAGUGAUUUUUAAACCUGCCAUGUGCCAAAAUCAUCUGGUGGGCUUGUUAUAAAACACAGAUUGUUUGGCUCCAGCCCCAGAGAGUCUGAUCCCAUAGGACUGGGGAGGAACCCUGGAAUUUACAUUUUUAACAAGUUCCCAGGUGAGGCUGAUGCUUCUAGUCUGGGGUCCACACUAUCAAACCACCCCUCUAAGCCAAUUGACACAUUCUCAUUCUCCAGUUGGUCUGGUUGUGAUAUUUGGACUUGUUUUAACUCAUUCUCUCAAGAACAGAACCUAAGACAAGGAUGUGGGCUCAAGUCUUUUACUGGGACAUGAUCCUAGAAAUCACUAUGAAGGAAUCAUGAUGUGAGAAGGAGACGCAAAGAAAGCCACCAAGGGUUAGUUGAUGGCCAGUUUCCUCCAUGUGCCACUGGGAGUUAAUGCUGCUGGAGACCUAGUGCAGGACUCAGAGUUUGCCCCCUAAGGAAGGAGGAGGACAGGAUUUAGUUUCCAUCACUCACUUGUUUAAGAUUGCUCCUUAGGACUUCAACUCUCUAGCAUUUCCAGCCUGUGCACACUCCAGAGGUGGCCCUCAGGCUCAGAGAUGCAGUUUCCAGACGAAGAAAUCAAGGGCUUAUGAGAUUUGCCCAAUAAAUUGCAGGCAAUCUGUUUAUGGGCUGAGGGCAUAAGGUAGAGUACCUACAGAGUCUGCUACUGAGGAACACGUGAUGCAGAUUUGACUAAUAAAAUGUGAGCAAUGUCUGCCAGGGGACUCUUGUCAAGGUUUCUUUGGUCUUAAGAAGAAAACGUAGAAGAGAAAUAUUUUCCUCUGGAUGUUGUUAUAUCUGAAUAAGACAUUGAAAUUGCUAUAUCCAUAUUAGAAACAGGAGAAGUAGCCUUAGAAUGAAGGCACUGAAGAAAGCAGAGUGGAGAGAUUGAAGAACUUGCAUCUUUGAUGAAAUUAUUGAGAUACUGACAUAUCAUGCCUGGAGCCAUUCUAGCACUGGGUUUCUUGGGUGAGAGAUAACAAAUAGUGUCAUUGUUAAGACUGUGGGAAUUGGGGUUUUCUAUUGCUGGUUGCUGAACCCUGAAAUGCAAAGUGGAAAUGGUGCUUAACACCGUUGCUGCUCAAAGUGUAGUCUGAGGUCUGGAAGCAUCACCAGGGAGAAGAAUUUCAGGCCCCGCUCAAACCCACUGAAUCAGAAUCUGCAUUCAGCCAGAUCUCCAAGUAAUCCAUGCACAUAUUGAGAUAUCAGAUGCCCUGCCUUACAGAGCUGUGCUGAUUCAAAGAGCUGACAUAUGGAAAUCACACUGCAGAUGUUGAAUUUAUUAUUUUAUAUUGACAUCUUGGUACCUCCUUGUAGUCCUCUUAUUCAUCAUUCCUUAUUUAAGAAUAAGUUUACAUCAGCCUAUGGAAAUAUACUCAAAUGUGAAAUUCAUUGCUGGUUAAUUAGUCUGGAAGGUCAUUUUUUUUUUAACGUAGGAGUUAGUUUUCCUAAAUAUUAAUGAGCAAUUAGAAUUCUAUUCUGAAAACAGAUGACAUUGUGAAUUAAGAGUGAGUAGAGGGAGGUGAGAAAUAAAAAUAUACACAAGUAAACAUGGUGAUAUAUUGGGAUUACUUCCUGGGCUUGUAUUUUUCUAAACCUGACACCUGGAAAUUCAAAUGAAAGUAAACCAGCUAGCACCAGGGUGACCCUUAUAAACAAAUGAAUCAUCGGCUGGAAUGAAGAAAAUAAAUGAAUAAAGCAUUCCAAAUCCAGCAAAUGGCAAGCUCUGUUACCAUUUUGAAGGGCCUAGAAUGACUUUAACUUGAGAUAUCCCACAGCAGCAUUUCUUAAAAUGUAUUAUUCAGAAUGUCAUGGAGUAAAAUAAGUGUUACCUAAAUAGUGAUUCCAUGGUCAAAUGAGUUUGGGAAGUGUUGUGCAUAAAUGAUAAAGAGUUAACAGUUUGUUUACUUGAUUGUUUUCUUUUUAUAAUAGGUCCAUACUCAAGAGGCCAUUUUCCCUGUUCUGGAACUUUAUCAAAAUUUUCAUAACAGUUUCCUGUGUUUGUAUUCUUAACACCCCGGGUCCCCAAUUCUGUCUUCACAGAGCAGCCAGUGUAAUAUUUUCAAAAUGAUAAUGACAUUGGGUCAUCCUCAUGCUCAAAAUGCACCAAUGCCCUUUAUGUUCAUAUUUGUAUUUUUUCCUUUAACAUUGCCAACAAAUCCCUUCUUUAGCUCUGAGGUGUUCUUCUCAGGGUCAUGGCUAACAAUCUCCUUUAUUCUUCCAUUUUGUUGAAUAUGCCAAGAUAUUUCUUAUCUGAGCUUUCUUGCAUACUUAAAUGUCAUUUUCUCAUAUAGGCCAUUUCUUAUACUCCUUCUGUCUGUUAGAACACACUAAAUUGUUUUUCAGAGCAAAUUAAAAUUCAUAGCAAUCUUUCUAUUCGAGUAAUUGGUUAUUUAAUGUUUGUCUCUCCCCUUAGAAGAAAAUUUAUAAGAGAUCUUAUUCACUGUCAUAUUCCUGUGCCCAGCACAGUGUCUGAUAUUUAGGGGCAGUCUGUAAAUAUUUACUUAAUGACUGAAUGAAUUGUGAAUCACUAAUAAAGCAAUACAUGAGGGUUUUCAAAUGCUUUUGAACAUGGGGACAUUUUUUUUCAGCCUAGAAGUAAUAUUCUGUGGAAUGUAUUUUGGGAAAUGCUUUUCUAAAGUCAAUUCCACUCCUCCUAAGUGUGAAAAGGAGAAUAUAAGUUAUAACUACAUUUCAAGCUCUGACUAGCUGUGUGACCAUAGGCAAAGUUAUUUCAAGCUUGAGACUCACUUGUGGAAUGAUGAGGCUGGAUGAGAUAAUCUCUAUAAUCCUUUACAGCUCCUGAAUUCUGAAGUUCUAAACAUACAGAAAGAGUACCACUUUCCCUUUGGUCUUGGUGUGAGCUCUCCACGAGUAAGUCAAAUCAGACUGACCUUCUUUCACUCUAGAGUAUUUAUAGCCUAGGAUGGGAGAUCAAGGAAAGGAAGUUGAUACAGCAUAUCUAGCUUUCCACGAGCCAUUUCACAAAGUCUUCCCUGAUGAUAUCUUUGUAGAAAGGAGUGAAGAAUGGAAGCUUGAUGGAGGUAUGAUGGACUGGUUUUGUAACUUUGUAACUGGUUGAAAGAUGGUCCCCAGGAGUGCUAAUUAAUGGAUCAAUGCCAAAAUUGAGGACAGGCACUGGUCACAGCCUGCAGGCUCUGGCCUUUGUCCUGCCCUGUUCACUAUGUCUAUUAAUGUCUUGGAUAAAGAGUGAGAGCUCAUGAUCAUGAAAUAUGUAAGUGAUAUGAUGGUGGGAAUAUGUUGAAUGGCAGAAUCAGAAUUCAAAGUGAUCUGAACAGCCCAGAGAAAUGAACUGUAUCUAAAAUGGAGAAAUGUAGUAAUCAAAAAAGAAAGUUGUAGAAAUAAAAGCAAUUGUAAAAAUUUAUAAUUAUAAAAAUGUGUGCAUAAGUGUGUAUUUGUGUGUGUGUGUGUUAUGUAUGUGUACCUGGGAAACUUUUGGGGUUUUAAUUGAAGGUAAAAUCAAAAUAGUUAAGCUUAUUGUGGUGAUUAUUAUGCAAUAUAUACAAAUAUUGAAUAAUUAUGUUGUACAUUUGAAGCUAAUAAUGUUAUAUGUCAUUUAUACCUUAAUAAAAAUUAUUUUAAAAAAUCAA